GUUAAUAAUGCCUGUCACCUGUUUCCCCAUAGUCAAACAAGAAUAGAGAGAGAUUCUCCCAAGAUAAUGAAUGUGUUACGGAAUGGACAUUGCAGUGAAAAUAUGCCUGUCAUAGCAAACCACAUGAGUACUGGGGGAAGUAAAGGGAGAGAAGGGGUUUUUAAAGGCAAAAUGUGGAGAGUUACAUGAAUUGUUUUGAAAGAGUUAUCCUUGGCUACAAGGAUUGAUAACAAGGGUGGCAUGAGUCCAAGUUUGGACAGGCAGUUGCUGGGCAGAUGUCCUCAAAGAAGUAUUUUCUGUGUAAAGUUGUGGUGGCCUUUGUACAAAGUGGUGCUUGUUACAGAGUCUCUUCUGAUAGUUCUUCUUCUCAGUCAUAUGUGUAUCAGGUUUAUUUACUUGUUUUUGUUAGGGUCUGAUCUAAGUGACUCCAUGUUGAUUCUGUUCUCUGGGUUUUGAUCCACCACAUCUGAAGUUCUCCUCUUUGCUGCUUCUUCCCACUGCUCUCCCCCCUGCAUGGACACAGUCCCCUUCCUCCAUUUCUCAGGAAUCCCUAACAUAAAUCUAAUUAUUUUUUUACUAUUUAGUGGAUUUUUAUUGAAGGCUUGAGAAUACCAGUUACAGAACAAAUUAAAAAUUUAUAACUAGGCUUCUUUUGUCACUGUUGAGGAAGUUCUUCAUUUAUACCCAUUCAGUGUCUGUUAGGGUGCCAGAGUGCUGUGGGCUGGUGUCAUCUGAAAGGUCACUCACUGGCAUGUUUAUAGUUGGUGUGGUUGUUGCCUGAGAGCCUGCCUGGUGUGCCAUAACCUCUCAAAACAUGGUGGCCAAGUUGAGAGAGAAAGAGAGUGUGUCAUGGGUGGAUCUGGAAUGAAUAUGCUCCUCCACUUCAUGUGUUGAAAGCAUGGUCCUCAAUACAGCAAGGUUCAGAGGUGCAGUUUUAGGAAAUGACUAGAUCAUGACAGCUGUAACCUCACCAGCGGAUUUAUCCAUUUGCUGGAUUAAUAAUUUGAACGGACUACUGGGUGGUAACUACAGGCAGAUGGUGUGUGGUUAGAGGAGGUAAGCCAUUAGGUGUGGCCUUGGGGACUAUAUCUGUCCCUGGUCACUUCCUGUCUCCCUCUGCUUCCUGGCUUCUGUGAGCUGAGCUGCUUUGCUUAGCCAUGUCCUUCCACUGUGACCUUCUGCUUCACCUCAGGCCCAGGGCAAUAGAGUCCUGAUGAUGGACAGAGACCUCUGAAACUAUAAGUCUAAGUAAACUUAUCCUUGUUUGAGUUUCCUGUCAAGUAUUUGGUCCCAGCCUCAAAAAGCUGACUAGCAGAGAGUGAGUUAGGCAGAGGCUGAGUUACUUCCUAUUACUCAGCCUCAGAAAUCACACGCCAUUACGCUUUCCACUCUUCAAGGCCAUCACAAAAUCCUGCCAGGUACCAUGUACCUAUCUGACUCAUCAUCUUGAAGGGAGUGACAAUAUUCUGAAAGAACAUUUGGGCAUAGAAAUAUUGUUGUGGUCACUCUGGGAAAACUCAAUGUGCCACACUCACCAUGGGGAAUUCUUU
rnacentral:lncRNA from 1 species